rnacentral:rRNA from 1 species
CCUACGGGGGGCAGCAGUGAGGAAUAUUGGUCAAUGGGCGCGAGCCUGAACCAGCCAAGCAGCGUGAAGGAUGACUGCCCUACGGGUUGUAAACUUCUUUUAUAAGGGAAUAAAGUGAGGCACGUGUGCCUUUUUGUAUGUAUUUUAUGAAUAAGGAUCGGCUAACUCCGUGCCAGCAGCCGCGGUAAUACGGAGGAUCCGAGCGUUAUCCGGAUUUAUUGGGUUUAAAGGGUGCGUAGAUGGGUUGUUAAGUCAGUGGUGAAAGUUUGCGGCUCAACCGUAAAAUUGCAAUUGAUACUGGCAGGCUUGAGUACAGUUGAGGUAGGCGGAAUUCAUGGUGUAGCGGUGAAAUGCUUAGAUAUCACGAAGAACUCCGAUUGCGAAGGCAGCUUACUAAACUGCCACUGACAUUGAUGCUCGAAAGUGUGGGUAGCAAACAGGAUUAGAUACCCCGGUAGUC